UGUUUUGAUCUAAUUGCCUGAUGGGAAUGUCAAUUUUUUAGAUUGUUCUCCAAUUUCUAUUUUAUCUUUAACCAGGUAGAUGAUGAUGGUUCUAUCUACUUGUUAAAUCUUUAUUCUCCUAUUUUAAGUGCAAGGGAAUUUACGAAUUUAAUUUGUUAUUGGUAACUAAGCAUUAGAGCUUAAAAGAUCUUAGCUCUGAGCAAAUUUUCUGAAUGGUUGUUGAGUUCGUCUUAUUCUGUUUUUUCUUGCUUUCUGAUCGCGUGAUUGAUUAUGUUAAUUGCUGCCUGGAUUGCUUAUCUAUGGCAGUAAUGCUCAAAAUAAUGUUCAAACUUGCAGUCUUCUGAUUAUUUGUGUUAAUUGUUGAUUUUGAUUUUUCUACGGAUGACAAGAUUCGAACAAAGUGUUUAGGGUAUUCUCCUAAGAGCGUGAAACAACUGAAAGCAUGUGUUUGGAAUUUUGUGUGGGUGUGUGUGAUAAGUGGUCUUUUGUUAUAAUAUAAUCAAAAUGAUGGAUGAUUGGUUUAAAGAAUGGUCUUUUCUCUUAUUAAAAUUCAGUAUCAUGUGAAGUUGGCAAAUCUGUGUCUAUAUGGAAAUGUAACUAUUUUUUGUUAGAGGAAGAAUGCUGGUUGCUAAGUAUGUAUAUUUGGUUUUGUACUUGAUUCCUUUUGAGUGAUAUAAUGCAUGGUUUUAGGUGAAAUGCAAUUUAUGAAUUUGUAAGUUUUAG
rnacentral:lncRNA from 1 species